AUUGCCCCUAGAUGUUGUCAGUAUGGCUGCUAUGUCACAUGAGACAGUUCAUGGCAGAGAGAACAGCAGUUGUGUCUGUCCUCAGUGUUCGAACCUGUGAACAUCAGAAUUAGUAGUAGUUUAACAUU